UACGAAGGGGGCUAGCGUUGCUCGGAUUGACUGGGCGUAAAGGGCGCGUAGGCGGUUUGCACAGUCAGACGUGAAAUUCCUGGGCUCAACCUGGGGGCUGCGUUUGAUACGUGCGGGCUUGAGUUCGGAAGAGGGUCGUGGAAUUCCCAGUGUAGAGGUGAAAUUCGUAGAUAUUGGGAAGAACACCGGUGGCGAAGGCGGCGACCUGGUCCGAUACUGACGCUGAGGCGCGAAAGCGUGGGGAGCAAACAGG
rnacentral:rRNA from 1 species